rnacentral:tRNA from 1 species
ACCUAGCUGGCUCAUUUGGUGGAGCAUGCAACUCUUGAUCUUGGGGGUUGUGAGUUCAAGUCCCAUGUUGGGUG